GGCGCUUUGCCGGAGUGGUUAACGGGUGCCCCUGCUAUUCAGCUUUCAAGCUCAGCACAGGGUAUGGUCUUUGACCGCGUGUGUUCGAAUCGCACAGGCGUCG